UGGGGGAUAGGGCACAAUGGGCGAAAGCCUGAUGCAGCGACGCCGCGUGGGGGAUGAAGGCCUUCGGGUUGUAAACUUCUUUUGCUCUGAACAAGGCGCACCAUGGGGUGUGUUGAGUGUAGGGGUUGAUUAGCGCCGGCUAACUACGUGCCAGCAGCCGCGGUAAUACGUAGGGCGCGAGCGUUGUCCGGAAUUAUUGGGCGUAAAGGGCUUGUAGGUGGCUGGUUGCGUCUGUCGUGAAAGCUCAUGGCUUAACUGUGGGUUUGCGGUGGGUACGGGCUGGCUUGAGUGCAGUAGGGGAGGCUGGAAUUCCUGGUGUAGCGGUGGAAUGCGCAGAUAUCAGGAGGAAUACCGGUGGCGAAGGCGGGUCUCUGGGCUGUUACUGACACUGAGGAGCGAAAGCAUGGGGAGCGAACAGG
rnacentral:rRNA from 1 species